UCUUGAUAACCAGAAAAUAAUGGAGACAAAGCAGAAUGGGUUUGAAAAACAGUUACUAGAUCUGCAACAGCAAGUGGAGCCUCACCUCCUCACCUGACAGCAGCAGCAGUAAAUCCAAAAGCAGGAUAACCCGAGAUUUAACGAGAAAAGUUGCUCUCAUUUAUGAGUCCCUUGUACUUGAGGAUAGUGGUUUCAAUCCGCCUGAAGGGUAUGUCUGGUUAUAGCUACAUAUGUACAUGCAUAAUCCAUUUUUAAUGCGUCUGUCAAGAAGAAAAUCGUGGACGAUAUUCGAUAUUUGUGCACUCCCAGAUUGCCCAUACAGCCCAUACAGUGAAGACAAAAUAAAAUGUAUAUAGGUUUUGUUGCUUUGCGCAUAUCUUUAAAUUUGUUGUUGUGCCUCGAACUGUACAGUAAAGCUGACUGUGUGUGUGUGUGUCCCUUUUUAUAGCCGCAGUUCAAAGAAAACAUGAGACAGUCCGCAGGCAGCGGUUGAUGCAGGACAAUGAGAAUUUUGACGAACUUUCUGUGGAAAUUAGCAAGGCCAAAAAAUAUCGAGCUAGACGCAAGAGGAAGUUUGAGAAUCGGGCGCUAGUCGUCUUGGAACCAGAGAAGCACUACUGGGAGCUGGGAGAAUGUUACAGUAGAAGACAUGUCUGAAGAAUCAGAUGAUCCAGGAGACAUAAAUAAUCUUAUUGUCCAUAAGCUCCAGUGGUGCUCCCAAGAGUUCACGGACUUUAUUGGAAUAUUAGAUAAAAGAUGAUAAAAGAUACACAGAAAAAACAAAGAAUGAAGGGAUUUUGGUUGCAAGAAAGACUCGAUCAGUGGGUACCCAUUCAAGCAGUCCUCCUCGCCCACGCCUGAAUGGAUGAAAGACUCCAAUUAACUGGAACUAAUCAUGCAAGUGUGCAUUGGAGGUCUCAUCAACAAACUGUACAACGAACCUCAGAUAUAAUUAUAACGUUCUGUUCUGUUAGUUUAACAUUACGUAUAUCCAUUAUUUCUUUGCCAAAAGCUGUUUGAACAUGCAAUAAUGAAUAAUUAUACUGAAAAUUAAUUAAUUAAAUAUACAGUACAGCAUGCAGUGUGCAUCUUGGUUACAUGAGGUGGUCAAGGUUGUCAAGCAAUUUUCUAGAGGUGUGCAAGCAGUGUUCAUCUUGGCUACAUGGGGUUGUCAAGCAUAUCAAGCGAGGUGUACAAUGCUUGUACAUCUUGGUUACAUGGGGUGUUUGACUUGGAAAUUACUCUGGGAUAUGAUGUGCUGCAUUUUCUGGGCCAUAAUCAAGUUGUACAAGGCCACAUACAGGCCACAUAUCCAUUGUUGGAAACCUCUUGGUUAUAUGCAGAUCCAAGCCAGUUUCCAACUUGUGCACAGGGGUCUUCAUUGCUGUGGUACACACACCCAC